rnacentral:pre_miRNA from 1 species
UUUUUAGCAUAAGUAUAUCUCAUGAAGUAUUUGGAACAUACUUAUCCUAAAA